AAAAUGCGAUACGUAAUGGAAAUUGCAUACGUGAGUCAUCGAAUCUUUGAACGCACAUUGCGCCCCCUGGUAUUCCGGAGGGCAUGCCUGUCCGAGCGUCAUUAGUCCAAUCUCAAGCCCGGCUUGUCGUUGGGUCCCACCGCCUGGCCGGUGGGCCCGAAAGCUAAUGACGGGCCUGGUGAACCGUGGAUGCAGCGAGCUUUUUAGCACGUGUCCCGGCUUCUCCGGGUCCGUCUCAACCAUUUCUCAGGUUGACCUCGGAUCAGGUAGGAAUACCCGCUGAACUUAA
rnacentral:misc_RNA from 1 species